UUGGUGCUUGUAGCUCAGUGGAUAGAGCGUUUGUUUCCUAAGUAGAAAGUCGUAGGUUUGACCCCUAUUUGGCGCGAUUUUAUUCGUUGGUGGUUGGCGCUUGUAGCUCAGUGGAUAGAGCGUCUGUUUCCUAAGCAGAAAGUCGUAGGUUUGACCCCUAUUUGGCGCGAUUUUAUUCGUUGGUGGUUGGCGCUUGUAGCUCAGUGGAUAGAGCGUCUGUUUCCUAAGCAGAAAGUCGUAGGUUCGACCCCUACCUGGCGCGCUUUUAUUUUUGGAUGCCUUUGUAUGUAUGUGCAUCUCUCGACCAUUGACAACCUUUGUAUGUUAGUGGUCGUAGGUUUGACCCCUAUUUGGCGCUAUUUUAUUCAUUUGUGCUUGGCGCUUGUAGCUCAGUGGAUUGAGCGUCUGUUUCCUAAGUAGAUAGUCAUAGGUUCGACCCCUACCUUAGUCCAUUUUUAUUUUUUUAGUUUGACCCCUAUUUGACGCGAUUUA